rnacentral:snRNA from 1 species
GGAUGUGAGGGCAACCUGGCUCGACUCUGUCACCCUGUUGGUGGCCAGGGUUGGUCUGGCUGAUGUGGCUGGCUAGCCAGGUGUGCCCUCCCUCCCAAAGGUGCACACUCAGCCGAGGAGGACGACCAUCCCUGAUGGAGGAGGACUGACUGGUCAAGGGUAUACGAGAAGCUGCGCUCCCCUGCUAGAAGCUCCAAACGAGCUCUCAAAGACGCCUCCAACUUGCAGGGAAACACAAUCUGGUAAAUGAAUGAUU